GAGUUUGAUCCUGGCUCAGAACGAACGCUGGCGGCAGGCUUAACACAUGCAAGUCGAACGCGUGUAGCAAUACACGAGUGGCGCACGGGUGAGUAACGCGUGGAUAUCUGCCUUUUGGUUCGGAAUAACCCCGGGAAACUGGGGCUAAUACCGGAUGGUUCCUUCGGGAUAAAGAUUUAUCGCCAAAAGAUGAGUCCGCGUCCGAUUAGCUAGUUGGUGAGGUAACGGCUCACCAAGGCGACGAUCGGUAGCUGGUCUGAGAGGACGAUCAGCCACACUGGGACUGAGACACGGCCCAGACUCCUACGGGAGGCAGCAGUGGGGAAUAUUGGACAAUGGGGGCAACCCUGAUCCAGCCAUGCCGCGUGAGUGAUGAAGGCCUUCGGGUUGUAAAGCUCUUUUGGCGGGGACGAUGAUGACGGUACCCGCAGAAUAAGCCACGGCUAACUACGUGCCAGCAGCCGCGGUA
rnacentral:rRNA from 1 species